GGAAUUCGAUUUUCCGGUUGAUCCUGCCGGACCUGACUGCUAUCGGAUUGAUACUAAGCCAUGCGAGCCAUUGUAGCAAUACAAGGCAGACGGCUCAGUAACGCGUAGUCAACCUACCCUAUGGACGGGAAUAACCUCGGGAAACUGAGUAUAAUGCCCGAUAGAACACUAUACCUGGAAUGGUUUGUGUUCCAAAUGAUUUAUUGCCAUAGGAUGGGACUGCGGCCUAUCAGUUUGUUGGUGAGGUAAUGGCCCACCAAGACUAUUACAGGUACGGGCUCUGAGAGGAGUGGCCCGGAGAUGGGUACUGAGACACGGACCCAGGCCCUAUGGGGCGCAGCAGGCGAGAAAACUUUGCAAUGUGCGAAAGCACGACAAGGUUAAUCCGAGUGGUUUCUGCUAAAGGAACCUUUUGACAGUCCUAGAAACACUGUUGAAUAAGGGGUGGGCAAGUUCUGGUGUCAGCCGCCGCGGUAAAACCAGCACCUCAAGUGGUCAGGAUGAUUAUUGGGCCUAAAGCAUCCGUAGCCGGCUCUGUAAGUUUUCGGUUAAAUCUGUACGCUCAACGUACAGGCUGCUGGGAAUACUGCAGGGCUAGGGAGUGGGAGAGGUAGACGGUACUCGGUAGGAAGUGGUAAAAUGCUUUGAUCUAUCGAUGACCACCUGUGGCGAAGGCGGUCUACCAGAACACGUCCGACGGUGAGGGAUGAAAGCUGGGGGAGCAAACCGGAUUAGAUACCCGGGUAGUCCCAGCUGUAAACUAUGCAAACUCAGUGAUGCAUUGACUUGUGGUCAAUGCAGUGCUGCAGGGAAG
rnacentral:rRNA from 1 species